UACAGAGGGGGCAAGCGUUGUUCGGAAUUACUGGGCGUAAAGGGCGCGUAGGCGGCCUUCUAAGUCGAACGUGAAAUCCCCGGGCUCAACCCAGGAACUGCGUCCGAUACUGACAGGCUUGAAUCCGGGAGAGGGAUGCGGAAUUCCAGGUGUAGCGGUGAAAUGCGUAGAUAUCUGGAGGAACACCGGUGGCGAAGGCGGCAUCCUGGACCGGCAUUGACGCUGAGGCGCGAAAGCUAGGGGAGCAAACGGG
rnacentral:rRNA from 1 species